GUGGGGAAUUUUGGACAAUGGGCGCAAGCCUGAUCCAGCAAUGCCGCGUGCAGGAAGAAGGCCUUCGGGUUGUAAACUGCUUUUGUACGGAACGAAACGGUCCGGGUUAAUACCCUGGGCUAAUGACGGUACCGUAAGAAUAAGCACCGGCUAACUACGUGCCAGCAGCCGCGGUAAUACGUAGGGUGCAAGCGUUAAUCGGAAUUACUGGGCGUAAAGCGUGCGCAGGCGGUUUUGUAAGACAGGCGUGAAAUCCCCGGGCUCAACCUGGGAAUUGCGCUUGUGACUGCAAGGCUGGAGUGCGGCAGAGGGGGAUGGAAUUCCGCGUGUAGCAGUGAAAUGCGUAGAUAUGCGGAGGAACACCGAUGGCGAAGGCAAUCCCCUGGGCCUGCACUGACGCUCAUGCACGAAAGCGUGGGGAGCAAACAGGAUUAGAUACUCUUGUAGUCC
rnacentral:rRNA from 1 species